GAAUGGCAUCACGAAGGCUAUACUGUCUCCUUUCUCUAAUCAAUGAAACUGAUCUCCCCGUGAAGAAGCGGGGAUAAAAAUAUAAGACGAGAAGACCCUAUGGAGCUUAAAACUAAGUGGCACUAGUUCCUAUAUUAACAUUUUUAAGAAUUACUUCAGCUAUUUUGACCACUAGUUUUAGGUUGGGGUGACCGCGGAGCACAAAAUAACCUCCGCAUUGAACGGAGCCACGCCUGAGCAAAAAACUACGACUUUAAGCACCAAUAAAUUGACAUUAAUUGACCCAUUAUUUUGAUCAAUGAACCAAGUUACCCUAGGGAUAACAGCGCAAUCCACUUCAAGAGCCCCUAUCGACAAGUGG
rnacentral:rRNA from 1 species